rnacentral:rRNA from 1 species
GACGAACGCUGGCGGCGUGCCUAAUACAUGCAAGUAGAACGCACAGUUUAUACCGUAGCUUGCUACACCAUAGACUGUGAGUUGCGAACGGGUGAGUAACGCGUAGGUAACCUGCCUGGUAGCGGGGGAUAACUAUUGGAAACGAUAGCUAAUACCGCAUAAUAUUAAUUAUUGCAUGAUAAUUAAUUGAAAGGUGCAAUUGCACCACUACCAGAUGGACCUGCGUUGUAUUAGCUAGUAGGUGAGGUAACGGCUCACCUAGGCGACGAUACAUAGCCGACCGGAGAGGGUGAUCGGCCACACUGGGACUGAGACACGGCCCAGACUCCUACGGGAGGCAGCAGUAGGGAAUCUUCGGCAAUGGACGAAAGUCUGACCGAGCAACGCCGCGUGAGGGAAGAAGGUUGUCGGAUCGUAAAGCUCGGUUGUAAGAGAAGAACGGGUGUGAGAGUGGAAAGUUCACACUGUGACGGUAUCUUACCAGAAAGGGACGGCUAACUACGUG